GUGUGUGUGUGUGUGUGUGUGUGUGUUUGUAAAUAUAUAAAGAUUUAUAUAUGCAUAAUUUACAUAUACAUUAGGUUUGAAGCAGAGGCAGUUGUUCCAUCUUAUUCGAAAAAAAAUGGAUGGUUAUUUUGGUCAACUUGUGUUUAUGCAAUGAAAGCUACCUAUAAUAAUUUUUCAAUCAUUGACUCAUGCAACAAACUUAGACUUAAUAGAGUUAAAGUAACUAGAGAUAAAGAAGUAUGUGCAGGAUUUAAUUUCACAACUAAAGAGGACUUCGAAGAAGAAUUAAAGUUCUGGUGGAUCAAUGAUUGAGGAAUGAUUUGGUUUUAACUGGUUUGCAUCUUAUGAACAAAGUACAUAAUAUGAU
rnacentral:lncRNA from 1 species